rnacentral:rRNA from 1 species
UGGGGAAUAUUGCACAAUGGGCGCAAGCCUGAUGCAGCCAUGCCGCGUGUGUGAAGAAGGCCUUCGGGUUGUAAAGCACUUUCAGCGAGGAGGAAGGUGGUGAACUUAAUACGUUCAUCAAUUGACGUUACUCGCAGAAGAAGCACCGGCUAACUCCGUGCCAGCAGCCGCGGUAAUACGGAGGGUGCAAGCGUUAAUCGGAAUUACUGGGCGUAAAGCGCACGCAGGCGGUUUGUUAAGUCAGAUGUGAAAUCCCCGGGCUCAACCUGGGAACUGCAUUUGAAACUGGCAAGCUAGAGUCUCGUAGAGGGGGGUAGAAUUCCAGGUGUAGCGGUGAAAUGCGUAGAGAUCUGGAGGAAUACCGGUGGCGAAGGCGGCCCCCUGGACGAAGACUGACGCUCAGGUGCGAAAGCGUGGGGCAGCAAACAGGAUUAGAUACCCUGGUAGUCCAGCGCUGUAAACGAUGUCGAUUUUGGAGGUUGUGCCCUUGAGGCGUGGCUUCCGGAGCUAACGCGUUAAAGUCGACCGCCUGGGGAGUACGGCGCAAGGUU